rnacentral:rRNA from 1 species
UGUAGGCGGUCUGUUAAGUCUGGUGUGAAAGCCCGGGGCUCAACCCCGGAAGUGCAUUGGAUACUGGCAGACUUGAGUAUGGGAGAGGAAAGUGGAAUUCCGAGUGUAGGAGUGAAAUCCGUAGAUAUUCGGAGGAACACCAGUGGCGAAGGCGGCUUUCUGGACCAAUACUGACGCUGAGAUGCGAAAGCGUGGGGAGCGAACAGGAUUAGAUACCCUGGUAGUCCACGCCGUAAACGAUGGGUACUAGGUGUUGCGGGUAACCACUCCUGCAGUGCCGCAGCUAACGCAUUAAGUACCCCGCCUGGGGAGUACGGCCGCAAGGCUAAAACUCAAAGGAAUUGACGGGGGCCCGCACAAGCGGUGGAGCAUGUGGUUUAAUUCGACGCAACGCGAAGAACCUUACCUAGGCUUGACAUUCCCGA